rnacentral:rRNA from 1 species
CGUACGACUCUCGGCAACGGAUAUCUCGGUUCUCGCAUCGAUGAAGAACGUAGCGAAAUGCGAUACCUGGUGUGAAUUGCAGAAUCCCGCGAACCACCGAGUCUCUGAAUGCAAGUUGCGCCCGAGGCCACCCGGUCGAGGGCACGCCUGCCUGGGCGUCACGC